rnacentral:rRNA from 1 species
GUGUCAGCAGCCGCGGUAAUACGUAGGGGGCUAGCGUUGUCCGGAUUUAUUGGGCGUAAAGAGCGUGUAGGCGGCCAGAUAGGUCCGCCGUGAAAACUCGAGGCUUAACCUCGAGCUGUCGGUGGAAACCAUUUGGCUAGAGUCCGGAAGAGGAGAGCGGAAUUCCCGGUGUAGCGGUGAAAUGCGCAGAUAUCGGGAAGAACACCCGUGGCGAAGGCGGCUCUCUGGGACGGUACUGACGCUGAGACGCGAAAGCGUGGGGAGCAAACAGGAUUAGAUACCCGUGUAGUCC